UAUAUACUCCCUCCUUUCCAAAAUUCUUGUCUUAGAUUUAUCUAUAGAUACAGAUGUAUCUAGUCACGUUUUAGUGUUAGAUAUAUCCAUAUCUAGACAAAUCUAAGACAAGAAUGUUUUGGGCGGAGGUAGUAUAAA
rfam:Hordeum vulgare subsp. vulgare, WGS project CAJW01000000 data, contig: morex_contig_273965